UCCCUGGAAGUCCAAUGGUUAAGACUCUAUACUUCCACUGCAGGGAGUCCAGGUUCAAUUCCUGGUUGGGGAA
rfam:TPA: Bos taurus chromosome 21, whole genome shotgun sequence.